rnacentral:rRNA from 1 species
CGCAAGCCUGAUGCAGCCAUGCCGCGUGUAUGAAGAAGGCCUUCGGGUUGUAAAGUACUUUCAGCAGUGAGGAAGUGGGUAUGUUAAUAGCAUAUUCAUUUGACGUUAGCUGCAGAAGAAGCACCGGCUAACUCCGUGCCAGCAGCCGCGGUAAUACGGAGGGUGCGAGCGUUAAUCGGAAUUACUGGGCGUAAAGCGCAUGCAGGUGGUUUGUUAAGUCAGAUGUGAAAGCCCGGGGCUCAACCUCGGAAUUGCAUUUGAAACUGGCAAACUAGAGUACUGUAGAGGGGGUAGAAUUUCAGGUGUAGCGGUGAAAUGCGUAGAGAUCUGAAGGAAUACCGGUGGCGAAGGCGGCCCCCUGGACAGAUACUGACACUCAGAUGCGAAAGCGUGGGGAGCAAACAGGAUUAGAUACCCUGGUAG